UGAUGCUGGCUGUUGCACUCUCUCAAGUGCAAAGACUUCCCAUGAGUGAUGCAGGGCCAACAGCAGCCCUGUGUCUGUAGAGUGCCUUCAAAACUCAGCUGUUCCAGCCGGUGCCAACCUGUGAAAGCUCCACAGAAUCCCAUUAUCUACUACUCCAAAAACUACUUAACAGUUUCCUUGCGGUAAUCACACCGAGCAAGCCAGGACAAAAGGGCCUAUUGUUAGUGGAAUUUAUUUCUUAUUUCCAUCUGAGCCUUUUAACUGUUAUUUCCAUGUCUUGCAAGUUCGGGCUUCAUUUACUUCAAAUUUACAAGAAUUUAGCCUUUUGGGAUUUUGGGGGGAAGGGCUUUUUUUGUUGUUGUUGUUUGUUCUAUUUCCCUUUGAUUUUUGUCAUGGGAUGUGCCUCCAGCCAGCAAAGAAGGAAAUCUUACCGUUGUGAUGUACCAAGAGAAUUCUAACAACUGUCAUUUUAAUUGCGGACAUGCAUUGAAGAGAUGUCUAUCCGUUUUGAGAAUUUUAAUACAAACGCUGUUUUUUAGAAAA